AGGGGCAGCGAAGAGGUAGCAAUACCUUUGUCGGCGACCGGCGCACGGGUGAGUAACACGUAUGCAAUCCACCUGUAACAGGGGGAUAACCCGGAGAAAUCCGGACUAAUACCCCAUAAUAUGGGCGCUCCGCAUGGAGAGCCCAUUAAAGAGAGCAAUUUUGGUUACAGACGAGCAUGCGCUCCAUUAGCCAGUUGGCGGGGUAACGGCCCACCAAAGCGACGAUGGAUAGGGGUUCUGAGAGGAAGGUCCCCCACAUUGGAACUGAGACACGGUCCAAACUCCUACGGGAGGCAGCAGUGAGGAAUAUUGGUCAAUGGUCGGCAGACUGAACCAGCCAAGUCGCGUGAGGGAAGACGGCCCUACGGGUUGUAAACCUCUUUUGUCGGAGAGUAAAGUACGCUACGUGUAGUGUAUUGCAAGUAUCCGAAGAAAAAGCAUCGGCUAACUCCGUGCCAGCAGCCGCGGUAAUACGGAGGAUGCAAGCGUUAUCCGGAUUUAUUGGGUUUAAAGGGUGCGUAGGCGGCACGCCAAGUCAGCGGUGAAAUUUCCGGGCUCAACCCGGAGUGUGCCGUUGAAACUGGCGAGCUAGAGUACACAAGAGGCAGGCGGAAUGCGUGGUGUAGCGGUGAAAUGCAUAGAUAUCACGCAGAACCCCGAUUGCGAAGGCAGCCUGCUAGGGGUGAAACAGACGCUGAGGCACGAUAG
rnacentral:rRNA from 1 species